CGGGGUGUGGCGCAGUUGGAUAGCGCACUUGCAUGGGGUGCAAGGGGUCGUGUGUUCGAGUCACAUCACCCCGA
rnacentral:tRNA from 1 species